AUGCUGGGAAUCUUAGGUGGGCCGGUCCUCCGCUGGGCUUCUCGGGCCUUUGCGGCGUGCGAGGGGGAGGAUUGGGGGGCCCCCGCUCUGGCAGCUGAGGCUUUCCCUAACUCCUGGGGAGCGGGAAGACCUCGGAGGACCCAUUUCGGGCGCCCACCGAGGACGUCUCCCCCCUCGGGGCUGCCACCCCCUGAAGCACCCCAGGGUGGCCCCGCAGAGAGCCCGCAGCCAGAGGAAUGGCCCCCGGGACCCCGAGGCCCCCCUCCCAGACUAAGGAACUCUGAGCGGAAGAUCCAGACUUGUCAUUGUGUUAGUGAAAGCUGGAGGCGGCCCCUCCCCCAGCCUGGAGCCUAUUCUGGAGAGCUGCUCACAGACAACCAGAAUGGGGUCAAUAACACUCAAAGAUGUGACUGUGGACUUCACCCAGGAGGAGUGGCGCCUCUUGGACCAUUCUCAGAAAGAGCUGUACAGGGAGGUCAUGCUGGAGAAUGCCUGGAAUCUGCACUCUUUGGGUAA
rnacentral:lncRNA from 1 species